UACAGAGGGUGCAAGCGUUAAUCGGAAUUACUGGGCGUAAAGCGUGCGUAGGUGGUUUACUAAGUCAGGUGUGAAAUCCCCGGGCUCAACCUGGGAACUGCGCUUGAUACUGGUAAACUAGAGUUUAGUAGAGGGAAGUGGAAUUCCACGUGUAGCGGUGAAAUGCGUAGAUAUGUGGAGGAACACCGGUGGCGAAGGCGGCUCACUGGCCCGUAACUGACGCUCAGGCGCGAUAGCGUGGGGAUCAAACAGG
rnacentral:rRNA from 1 species